CCAUUUCCCAGAGGCUCCGUCUCCCACGCCCUGCUGUCCCUGAGCCGGCACAGGCCCCCUCACCGCAGCCUCUCGGUUCCCGGCGGAGCCGAGCGCUGCCCGGCGGCACCACAGGGUGUCACCCUCGGCCCGGGCCCAGAGCACGGGGCACCGCGGGCAGACAGCGCCGCGGCCGCCGCCGCAGCUCUGCCUGAGGCCCCCGGGCAGCCCGGGCUGCGGCCCUGACCCGCACGGCUGCAGGGCACCGCACACACACGCGUGGGGAGCACACGCUGGCACCGCGGUGCCCCCCGAAACCGCGCAGGGAGGCCAGGAGCUGCCACAUUGCAGUCUCUCAAAGAACAGGCCUUUCUUUCAGAGUCUGACCUGACUCUCAAGCAAUCGCUGGACAAAUUGUGGCUGUGCUUAUCUGUGUUGUUUGCAACUUUCUUCUUCAGGCUUUUUUUUUUUUUUUCCCCUCCUCAUUUUUGGAAUGUUUUGGAAGCAUUUUUGCAGAAAUUUUCCAUAAUCAGGCCUAGCCAGCAUGGAAAAUUUUAUCCUGAUCUUGAAAUGUAGGCCUUCAUAGCAGAAACUGCAACUGUGGGGAGCAUCAGAAAGCAUCAGAAAGCAUCAGAAAGCAUCAGAAAGCAUCAGAAAGCAUCUUUACUCCUGAGCAACGUUUGACUGUCCAACUUUUCUCAGCGACUGCUCAUCUGGAUUCCCAGAAUUGCUAAGACCACCAACUGAACUACCUGAUGGAUACUGGGAGCUGUGAAGAAGGUGCAGAUGCUCCAUUCCUCAGAGAAAAAAAACAACCAUCACCACAGAAGGAUCACCCCAGAAGAAGUGGUUAUCUUACUUCUUGGCCAGAAAUGCCUCUUGCAGGCCUUCUCAGUAGUACUCAGUAAUAAAAAACUAUUUAACAGUUUUAGAUAUAUAGGCAGUUUUACCCCAGCUGCAAGCAUAGGAUCAGUGAGUGAAACCCAGCCCCUGAAUCGGAGCACUGAAUUUGGAACACUGGUAAACUCGGGCUACAGUGCACUGUCCCACAUCACAGCAGCAAGAUCAGAGCCUCCAGGAUGGAGUCCCAAUAGGGGCUGUUUCCAUCAGUCCUGUGAUAGCCUGUUUCUAGUGUCUGCAAUGCUGUGCUAAAAUAUCUCCUGACAUAAUUUAUGUGUAGCUGUGCUUUGUCCACACCAGAGAGCAGUAUCCUCACUUUGCUUGUGGCAGAGAAAUUCAUUUUGGGGAAAUGGGAGCAUUUGUACUACAAAAGAACACCCACAAUGAUACACAGCCACAGCUGAAGACCAAGUUGUAUCCAUGGUAAGAUUUCUAUGGGUGGAGUUUGAUGGAAUAACCAUCACACACCUAGCAAAAUUAUUUUAGCUGAUUGGCAGCUUGGAUUUGUUUCUACUUGGUUUUUUUUUUAAAUCUUGCUAAAACCUUUGUUUUAAAAGAAGACAGUUUAUGGAAGUAUUUUUCAGGAUUUUACUGCAAACCUAUGGGUCUGGUCACAGAAAAAUAUGAUACAUAUAACCAUGUUAAUUAUAUUACAUUACAAUGAUGGUAUACAUUACAAGUAAGUCUGUAAGUUUAAAUAUACAUCUAGAGUUACAACUGAAUGUACAGAUCUUUUUUACAAUACAUACAGUCAGGAAUGAAAAUCCCUCAAACCCCAAGACCAUAAAUAAUGCCCAUUUUAUAGAUGAUAUCUUUAAAACUAAAAGAGAAAAAAAAAAAAAGAAAAAAAGAAAAAAAAAAA